rnacentral:lncRNA from 1 species
UUGUGUCUCACAUUAACUUGAUCAAGCAUUACCAAUCAGAAUAAAGCUGUUUCGCAAACAUAGUUUGACUGUCAGAAUUGCGUAAGCAAACUAAACUUUAAUUUUAUUUAAUUGUUGAAAUUAUUUAUAUACUUGUGGUAUAUCUAUUUGCAUAGAUCUUUGCAUUUGUACCCCUAAUAUAUGAUAUAAAUCCAAGUAAAUGAUAAAUGUUUUGUAAUAUUUUAUCACAGAUUGUCUAAGAAUCUAUUUAUACAAGGCAAUAUGCAUUGAUAAUGUUCAUCAUCCAAAAUUAAUGUUCUCAAUAAGCUGAGAUCUUUUUUACAUGUAAUUAAAUCUAUAGUUACUUUUCAUUUCAUUCUAAUUACGAUUCCCUAUUUUAUUUAAAUGGACGGAUUUGGGCAUGAGGAUUCUAAAUUGACAAGUGUAACUACUUUAUAAUUAUUUGGAUGCACAGUAGAUAUUUAAAAGGGAUGUCUUCUAAUAAGGUGCCAAUUAAUUUAUAAUUUUAGAAAAGAUGGUUACCAAGAAUUUUUAUUGGUAUUGAUAAAAGUAUUAUUUUGCAGGAAUAUAUAUGAUGAGAAAAAUGUGUUAUAAGCAAAUUAUGGCGGUACUACAAAUUUGUAUUUUUGUUUUAAUUUUAUUUCCUGAGACAUUCGUAAAUUGUAAAAUUAAAACAAUUGAAGAAAUAGAGUACAUUUGCUAUCUGCAAUGCAUGGAAGACUAUAUAGAGUACAGUUGGGACCUAUUUAAGGAUCUUACCAGAGAUCAAAUUAUUGAAAAAUGCAAAAGGGGUGAAAGAUAUCUGCCAUGUGAAAUUGACGGAGAAGCGAUUUCAUAGUACAUUACAGAUGUUAUUUUUGCCAUAUGAUCCUUUUCACAUGGGAUAAGUGGAAAAUAACAU